rnacentral:lncRNA from 1 species
UCCCAUCCCAGUGUCCCCAGUUCCCAUUGUCCCAGUCCCCCCCAUUCCCCCAUCCCAGUAUCCCCAGUAUCCCCAUCCCAGUAUCUCCCAUUCUCCAAUCCCCAUUCCCCAUCCCAAUAUCCCCAGUAUCCCCAUUCCAGUAUCCCCAGUAUCCCCUGUAUCCCCACCCCAGUAUCCCCAGUUCCCCCAUCCCAGUUCCCCCAGUCUCCCCAGUAUCCUCACCCCAGUAUCCCCAGUUCCCCCAUCCCAGUAUCCCCAGUUCCCCAUCCCAGUAUCCCCAGUAUCCCCAGUUCCCCAUCCCAGUAUCCCCAGUAUCCUCACCCCAGUAUCCCCAGUAUCCCCACCCCAGUAUCCCCAGUUCCCCCAUCCCAGUAUCCCCAGUUCCCCAUCCCAGUAUCCCCAGUAUCCCCAGUAUCCCCACCCCAGUAUCUCCAGUUCCCCCAUCCCAGUAUCCCCAGUAGCCUCAUCCCAGUAUCCCCAGUAUCCCCACCGCGCUGCCCGCACUACAACUCCCGGCGUGCUCCGCGCGGGCCGCGCAGCCGCAGGAGGCCCGAGCCGCGGGACGAGGCCGCAGCGGCGGCUCCGGGGCCGGGCCAUGGCGAGCCCGGGCUCGNCCUUCCCUCACGGAGGAGCGGGAUGGAGCCGCUUCCCUUUCCUUCCCUCACGGAGGAGCGGGAUGGAGCCGCUCGCUUUUCCCUCCCUCACGGAGGAGCGGGAUGGAGCCGCUCGCCUUUCCUUCCCUCAAGGGAGAAGCGGGGGGGAGCCGCUCGCCUUUCCUUCCCUCACGAAGGAGCGGGAUGGAUCCACUCGCCCUUCCCCUCCCUCACGGAGGAGCGGCGUGGAGCCGGUAACCACCGCCCAAGUCGCAGGGAAGGGCGCGAUGGAACCGCCCGCCCUCGCCCUCCCGGCCCCGCUCACCCGUGCCCGGCUCGCCGCUCUCCCCGCGCCGCCUCUCGCCCAUGGCCGGGGCUCGCUCGGGACCGUCCCUCAGGCCGCCCUCAUGGCCGCCCCGCCCGGCCCCCGGCGCGGCCCCGCUACCGGGCCGGCGGCAUGAGGCGGUGCGGGGCGGCCGCCGCCAUCCGCCGGCCCCAGGAAGUGGAAGGACGGGGCGGGCGGGAGAAGAGGGAGGGAAGGAGGGGACGAGGGGCGGGAGCGGCGGGGAAAAAAACAGAAAGUGAAAACUGA